GCCCUCUCUUUUCCCCUCUGCUCCUGCUCCAGCGGCAUGAUGUGAUCCACUGGUCCUUAGGAAGACUCUUUCCAUUGUGUGCAGCAGAAAUCCAACAUGACAUGCACAGAAAAGGAAACUUCACACUUCAUAUGGGGUUGAGCAUCCUUAGUCUGAAAAUCGAAAAUAAGAAAUGCUCCAAAACUGAUGCUGGAGAUGUGUCUCAAUUGGUAAAGUGCUGACUCAUCAUACAUGAAGUCCUGGAUAUGAUCCCCAGCACAGGAGUUGUGACCACUCAUGCAAUCCCAGGAGUUCAAGAUCAUCCUCCACUACUUGGCAAUUCCAAGACCAUCCUGGGCUACUGGAGCCUCUAUCUAAAACAAACAAACAAAAUAAACAGAGCAAACCAAACAAAAUGCUCCCAAAUCUGAAACAUGAUGACAUGAAAUCUAAAAAGUGUUUGACUUUACAUUUUAGAUUUUACAGUCAAUACAAAUAUUCUAAAUUCUAAAAAAAUCAAUAUCUGAAACCCACCGAGUCCAAAGCAUUUUAGAUAAGGGAUAAUGAAGUUGUACCAAAAAAUAGGAAAGGCCAAAGCAUACAUUCAUGACAGACGGGGGUUCCUAGGGCCAUAGGCUCAUUGUGUGGCACUAUCAUUAGUAAGGGCAGAUACCUGAGAGCAUGAGUAAUGCUGAAACAGAAAUCAUAAGCUGGGUCAUUUAUAAGCAACAGAAAGUUACUACUGUGGUUAUGUUAUUUGCAACCCCAAGCCAGAGUGUCAGCAACUGAGUCUUAUGAGUGUCCACCAAAUCUUAGAUUGCAAUUCCUUUCCUUUUCCAUGUUUUCACACAGAGCCCCCAAAUCCCCUUUUAUAGAGCACUAAUACCAUUGAUGAGGGUGCCAUUCUUAGGAUAUAAUCAUUUCUGCUAAAGUCCCAUAUUUUUAUAUCAUCACAUUAGGGAUAGUGUGCCGGAAUAAAUUUGGGGAUGGGUCAGUCAAUUAUUAAGACUGUAGUAACAUCUCUGUGCCAUUUAUUUGUCAGGUGAAAACCUCACUCUUCAUUCAUGUCUCCCUGGCACAGUGUUUUUAUGUGCUAAUUCUCUAGUUUAACUGUGUCCAUGACUCUUUUUUUCUUUACAGUCUCUAAACAAAGAUAAUAAGGAAGAGUUGAGAAAUGACAUAUUAUUUGAAAGAAAAUGUGUAGAUGCCCACACCAGUAUUUUUCCAUGUGUGUUUUUAUGUUUAUGCAUUUGUCAUUGAAGUACUUGGAAGUGUAUUAUGCCUAUCUGUAAUGCCCAUACAUUACAAGGAGAUUCCAUUAAAAUUGACAUUUGUACCA